GCCGAGGUGGCGGAAUUGGCAGACGCGUAUGCCUUAGGAGCAUAUGCCCUUGUGGUGUGAGGGUUCGACUCCCUCCCUCGGCA
rfam:Parcubacteria bacterium 33_209 MPI_scaffold_770, whole genome shotgun sequence.